AAAGAGGACGACCUGUAUCCAGUCAGGAGUUUUGCACAGGUGCUGCAUGGCUGUCGUCAGCUCGUGCCGUGAGGUGUUAGGUUAAGUCCUGCAACGAGCGCAACCCUCGUCGCUAGUUGUUUUCUCUAGCGAUACUGCCCGUAUAACGUGGAGGAAGGUGGGGAUGACGUCAAGGUCAGCAUGGCCCUUACAUCCUGGGCUACACACACGCUACAAUGGGUGAUACAACAGGUUGCGAUAGAGUAAUCUGGAGCCAAUCCCUAAAAUCAUCCUACAGUACGGAUUGCAGGCUGCAACUGCCUGCAUGAAGUUGGGGUUGCUAGUAAACGCAGGUCAGCACACUGCGUUGAAUACGUUCUCGGGCCUU
rnacentral:rRNA from 1 species